rnacentral:rRNA from 1 species
CCUACGGGCGGCAGCAGUGGGAAUCUUGCGCAAUGGGCGGAAGCCUGACGCAGCGACGCCGCGUGCGGGACGAAGGCCUUCGGGUCGUAAACAGCUUUCAGCAGGGACGAGGCCCUCACGGUGACGGUACCUGCAGAAGAAGCCCCGCCUAACUACGUGCCAGCAUCCGCGGUAAUACGUGGGGGGCGAGCGUUGUCCGGAUUCAUUGGGCGAAAGGCGUGCGUUGGCGGGCUGUUAGUUCGGGGGUCAAAUUCCGGGGCUAAACCCCGUUCCGCCCCCGAUACCGGCAGGCUUGAGUCUGUUAGGGGAAGGCGGAAUGCCCGGUGUAGCGGUGGAAUGCGCAGAUAUUAGGAAGAACACCGGCGGCGAAGGCGGCCUUCUGGGCCACGACUGACGCUGAGGCGCGAAAGCUAGGGGAGCGAACAGGAUUAGAUACCCUUGUAGUC